GACAGAGGGUGCAAACGUUGUUCGGAAUUACUGGGCGUAAAGCGCGUGUAGGCGGUCUGCUAAGUCGGGUGUGAAAGCCCUGGGCUCAACCCAGGAAGUGCACUCGAAACUGGCAGGCUAGAGUAUUGGAGAGGUUGGUGGAAUUCUCGGUGUAGAGGUGAAAUUCGUAGAUAUCGAGAGGAACACCGGUGGCGAAGGCGGCCAACUGGACAGAUACUGACGCUGAGACUCGAAAGCGUGGGGAGCAAACAGG
rnacentral:rRNA from 1 species